AGGAGAAGGAAGAGGAGGAAGAGACAUAUGAGUAGUGAUGGAGGAAGAGGAGGCUGAUGAUGAUGAGGAUGAGCUACCUUAAAAGCUGUGCCAGGUACAGGUGAAGGACAUGGUGGUAAUAGGUGUUUGCAAUUAAUUAUGUUAAUAAACCUCUUGAGAUCAGCGGAAUUCUUUUUGACAUUGCAUAGCUAAUAGGCUUAAAAGGCUGAUUAAUUUAAGCUCUAGUUUGUGUUUCAGGACAUGUGUAUUUUUUGUUCCUUAAUGUUUUCUUUGAAUUUUGUGAUAAGCUGCUUAGUAGACUUUUAAAAACUGAAAUAGUUUGUAUUUCUAUCAUUGAAUUCACUAUUUAAUUGUUUUUUAAUUGGUUUUUAUACUACAAAGUAUUCAUGUUGAAAUUAUGAUUCCAAUUGUACUAUUCAUGCAACCAGAUGAAAGGCCUCUCAAAACCAGUCUCCCAGCUGACCAGCUUAGUGUCACGCUGAAGCCAACGCAGAAGAAGAAGAAAUCCUGGCUUUCAAUUCUUUGUAUUCCCGUUACUUUAGUAAUAUAUACGUUUCAAAAACCUCUUUAGUUUAUUAGUUACUCCCAUCAGGUCAAACACGCAGUCCCUUUAAAUUACUUCACAAACAUACUCGAAUCAUUUGGAUUUACAAACGCAGACACACCAGACGGGCGGAAGCACGUAGAUUCUGUUUUUCUUGUCUCCACCCGGGGCUGCGCUGACUACCAAAAGAAGCACACCUUUGAAAUGAGCUUACGAAGGACCAAGCAGUUGCUAAGCAGUUGCUUCACCACAUGGAAGUGAUAAUGACAUCAAUAAACCGUAGAAUACCACCUAAACGCGAUGCAGCUGAACAUGCAGCAACGGCCAGUGACAAGACAGGAAGGUUGGAAGUGAAGUUCAUCAAUCAUUAUAAAGGACGAGGUGUGUUCGCCACGACUCCUUUUAAAAAAGGAGAUUUUGUGGUGGAGUACAGAGGGGAGUUGAUAAACUAUGAAGAAUCACAAAGGAGGAGGAGACUGUAUCAUAGUGCAUGUGCUGUCUUCAUGUUUGACUUCUUGUGGCAAGAAAGAUGGUGGUGUAUCGAUGCAUCCCGAGAAGAUAACAGUCUUGGAAGAUUAGUCAAUGAUGACCACAAGAA